rnacentral:rRNA from 1 species
UGAGGAAUAUUGGUCAAUGGACGAAAGUCUGAACCAGCCAUGCCGCGUGAAGGAAUAAGGCCCUAUGGGUCGUAAACUUCUUUUGUAUGUGAGCAAUAAGGUCCACGAGUGGUCCGAUGAGAGUAGCAUACGAAUAAGCAUCGGCUAACUCCGUGCCAGCAGCCGCGGUAAUACGGAAGGUCCGGGCGUUAUCCGGAUUUAUUGGGUUUAAAGGGAGCGUAGGCGGGCUGUUAAGUCAGCUGUGAAAUCCGGCGGCUCAACCGUCGGCCUGCAGUUGAUACUGGUGGCCUUGAGUGCGCGCAGGGGUGUUGGAAUUCAUGGUGUAGCGGUGAAAUGCUCAGAUAUCAUGAAGAACUCCGAUCGCGAAGGCAGAUGCCCGGAGCGCAACUGACGCUGAGGCUCGAAAGUGCGGGUAUCAAACAGGAUUAGAUACCCUGGUAGU